CCAGAAUGCCGCGCGGCGCAGGUGGAGGUGAGGGGUGGUGACCGCGGCCAUGGCGAGAGAUGUAGUUCCUGGUGGCAGCUUCCUGUGUGUUCCUCAGCAGCUCUUCAAGCAGGAAGAUCGUCAUGGCUUUUACUGUAGGAAUAUAUAGGAGAUGGGCAGAGAAAGGGUAUUCUGCCUGUACGUACUCUGUGGAAGCAUUAAGUGACUUGAAGGUAUAAUUACACAAAGCAACACAGCAGUAAUGUGUAAGCUACUAGUAAAGUGAUUUAUCAUCACACUGGAGAUAUUUGGGCUAAUUGUGCACCUCGGAGGACUAGCUUGCUUUCUGAUUAGCCUGCAUAUCCCUGUGCUGUACCAGUGCGUGCAGUGUAAAUAUAACCUCACUUGUUUCUGCCAGCAAGACCCCUAUGUAGUAUUUAGCUUCAAAUAAUGUGAAACGUAAAAUAAAACCUAACAGGUGUUUUCAGAUUGCUUUUCCAUCAUGUCUGUUCCUGUUCUUCCUAAUUCAAUUUGGAAGCGAGUGGGCUGAAAAAAAAAAAUCAUUAUGGAUGAAAUCUGGUUGAAUUUUUAGACCGUUCAGUUUCUGCUUAAUGAUUUCAGUAAUACAUGUAUUAAUUAAAAAUAAUAACUUGAAGCAUUGUUGGUUGAAUUCUUGGACCUAAAUUUUAGAAGUUAAACAUUCAUAAUUCUUCUUUUGCCAUAUAUUUUUUCCACCCUUACCUCCCUCUCUCUUUCCUAACAGAUCUCCAUUUCUAGUUUUCUUCUGCUACAGAUGUCUGCUUGUAAAAGGCAGGGUGUUUGUUACACUAGGCUUUAACAUCCUUUGUUCUAAAGCUUAUCCUGAGCUCUGCUAUAUAGCAUCCUACAGUCUAAGACAGUAAGGAUGCUUUUCUUUUUUUCUGUCUGUGAGAAUGUUCUUUUUAGUGGCAACAUAUUCAUUUCAUAGUCACAUGAUGGCAAAUAGAGGUGUUCACUGGUGUAAAAAUAAAGUGAGAUGCUGUUGUACUGGAGUAAUUGAAA